rnacentral:ncRNA from 1 species
UAGCAGUUUUAUUCUUGCUGGGUUGUUCAGUAUUGCCUUAUUUUAUAUGUAAGUUUUUGCGUGGUUCUUUCUUUGUUCUUAAUGGUCAAUGAUUGGUUUAUUUAAGUCGCAUUAUUUAUUAUUAUUGUGAUUCUAGGUUUUUAGGAGUUAGUAAUGGCUUAAGUGAUGGUUAAGUUUGUGCCAGCAGCCGCGGUUAUACAUUAAUCGCUACUGAAUAUUUUCGGUUAUGCAGUUUGAUUUAUUGUUUGGCAUGAGAUUUUAUGUUUUUAGGUGGAAUUAAUUCAUUUCUAAUUAGUGUUUAUUUUAUAUUUUUAGGCUGUGAAAUCUUUAUUUUAAACUAGGAUUAGAUACCCUAUUAUUUUUGAUGUUAAUUUUUUUUCCUGGGUAGUAUUAGUUAUGUUCUUGAAACCUAAAGAAUUUGGCGGUAUUCUAUUCCUUUCAGAGGAAUCUGCCCUAUAAUCGAUGAUCCACGUUGUACCUUACUUAAUUUUUUGUUUGUAUAUCGCCGUUAUAAUGAGGAUCUUUUUAGUGUAUAUAAUUUUCUAGUUUUAUUAGUGUGAUUUAUUUCAGGUCAAGGUGCAGCUUGUUUUUAAGUUUGAGGUGGAUUACAUUAUGUUAUGUUUAUGGAUUAUUGGUUGGAAUUAUUAACUAAUAUGAAAUUGGAUUUGAUUGUAAUUUAUUGAAGAUUGUUUGGAUGAUAUUGGUUCUAGAAUAUGUACACAUCGCCCGUCGCUCUCAUUCUUUACUUGAGAUAAGUCGUAACAAAGUGGCCGUACCGGAAGGUGUGGCUGGAAUGUC